rnacentral:tRNA from 1 species
GCGGAUGUAGCCAAGUGGAUUAAGGCAGUUGAUUGUGAAUACACCACGCGCGAGUUCAAUCCCCGUCGUUCGCC